CUGGCUAAAUUUGAUGAUGCAGUCAUACUGUUAAUUCAGAAAUAAAUGAAUAUAUUUAUUAUUGUGAAUCCAUGGCAAAAUUCAAAAUCUAGUAAUGCCAUCUAAGAUAUGUAUGAUGGAAAAUAGCUACUUGAAGUAUAAGGUAGUUUUUUUAUUAUUGCAAAUCUGACACUGUUAUUAAUUUUGCAUUAAUAAAAACAUCACAAUAAUUUCUGAAUUCACAGUAUAAUGAAAUUUUUGUACAAAUAGUGAUUCUGUGAUAUAUGAUUUUUGAAGACACAUGGUUCUGGUAGCUGCAUAUUUAUAUAUGUAUACAAUAUGUAUAAUACAAAUAGGUCUCACCUACUCCUGUAGUCUUUGUACAGUUUUAAGGCAAAUGCAUAUAUAAAAAGAUUACUAGCAAUAGAUUUGAUCUAAAUGCUGAAAGUUCUGUAUACCUGUGUAUAACUGUCUGAAGGUGAUGAUAAAAUGAUAAUUCUUUCUUUAACAAAUAGGCAAAUGAAACAAUGACUCAAACUCAUUCUGAUGGUAUGUUUACAUGUUCU
rnacentral:lncRNA from 1 species